UACGUAGGGGGCAAGCGUUGUCCGGAAUCAUUGGGCGUAAAGAGCGUGUAGGCGGCCUGAAAGGUCAGCUGUGAAAACUCGAGGCUCAACCUCGAGACGUCGGUUGAAACCAUCUGGCUAGAGUCCGGAAGAGGAGUGUGGAAUUCCCGGUGUAGCGGUGAAAUGCGCAGAUAUCGGGAAGAACACCCGUGGCGAAGGCGGCACUCUGGGACGGUACUGACGCUGAGACGCGAAAGCGUGGGGAACAAACAGG
rnacentral:rRNA from 1 species